GGGGGCGUAUUAGGCUUUGACGUCUACCACGGAACCCAAAGUGCAUACCGAGCACGAACAUAACUCGUAAAAUAUUGUUUAAAACAAAUAGUUGCAAAUAAUUACAACUAUAGUUUGGCAGCUUAAUGCCAACCUGUUAUCAUUUGUGACCUACAACAUUUGAUAACGGUCAUUUUAGUAGGAUAUACUCUACCAGAGCCCACUUGUAGAGCGAAUUUAAGGGCUUAGCUUAGUGUGUCUUGAUCAUCAGGCUACACCAAAGUGAAUUAAAUUGAUGAAUCUAAGUAUGUAGAGACUAGGGGAAAGUGAUGACGGACGUGGGUUCAAAUCCCGCCGCCUCCACCA
rfam:Marine metagenome 1096626843507, whole genome shotgun sequence.